AUGGCUUCUUAUAUCAAUGAAUCUCGAUUUUGGGGGAUUUUGUGCGUUGCAUUCAUUUUGCUCUCAGGAUUCAUAACUAGUUUAGAUGCUGUUCCAAUACAUAAGUGUGUUAACAACGGGACUUGCAUAAACGAUAAAGUGUGCAAUAACUAUUGUACUUUUUUCGGAUAUAACCUAGGUGGUAAAUGUUUAGGGGAAACCUGUUGUUGUAGUUCGUCGUGA